rnacentral:tmRNA from 1 species
GGGGGCGACCGGUUUUGACAGCUUGCAGAGUUUGAUUGUAAGCACGUCGAGCAUUGUGUGGGCGCUCGUUAAUCUGCAACACUCAAACUACAAAUGGCAAUAAUAGCUAUGCACUCGCUGCCUAAUUUUCAAGGAAAAUUAGCUUAAUCCGCGAGCCCAAGGAGGCUUGCAGACGAGUAUCCCGAGCGACUGUUCCGCCCUUUAAUGGUUGCUUAUAUGGGGUAUCAUCUUUAUAGGGAUAGUGCGACAUGUGUCUCGGUUGUUGUGCGAAAAUUUAGAGACUGCGGCAAAAGAUUAGGCUGUCUGUGGCCAUUCUGAGCAAGAGGAUUAAUCGCAGAAUAAACGUGUAGAAAGCUUUUGGAUUCCUUGUUUGGACGCGGGUUCGACUCCCGCCGCCUCCACU